GGAAAAGAAAAAGUAAAGGACUAAAUUGUAAAGUUUAGUCACAUUUUGUAUCGAGUACUUAUCUAGCCACUCGGGGAUCGAAGGAAACGUCGGAGGCCGAUCACACUAUCAAAGAAAUAACUCGGUAUAAUUAGACGUUUUGUUUUGUGUAUGGCAUGUAUAGAAACUUAGCCACUUUUGGUAUAAUAUGAACAAUGAAUGAUGUGUAAAUACUUGCUAGUGAUUAGUUAAUAAAAAUGGCCGAUGAUAUGCAUGUUUAUUAA